GAUGAACGCUGACAGAAUGCUUAACACAUGCAAGUCUUUGGCGAAGCUGUGCUUGCACAGCCUAGCCAAGGCGGACGGGUGAGUAACGCGUAAGGAACUUGCCCUGCAGUCAGGGAUAACAGACGGAAACGACUGAUAAGACCUGGUAAAGUCAGGCGGACUCAUGUCCAGCCUGAUGAAAAGAGAUGCUGCAGGAGAGCCUUGCGUCCUAUUAGCUUGUUGGUGGGGUAACGGCCCACCAAGGCGAUGAUAGGAAGCCGGCCUGAGAGGGUGGACGGCCACAAGGGGACUGAGAUACGGCCCUUACUCCUACGGGAGGCAGCAGUGGGGAAUAUUGGACAAUGGGGGCAACCCUGAUCCAGCAAUUCUGUGUGCACGAUGAAGGUUUUCGGAUUGUAAAGUGCUUUCAGCAGGGAAGAAAAAAAUGACGUUACCUGCAGAAGAAGCGACGGCUAACUACGUG
rnacentral:rRNA from 1 species